CAGUCGCCGCGGGAAAACAGAGGGUGCAAGCGUUAAUCGGAAUUACUGGGCGUAAAGCGCGCGUAGGUGGUUUGUUAAGUUGGAUGUGAAAGCCCCGGGCUCAACCUGGGAACUGCAUCCAAAACUGGCAAGCUAGAGUACGGUAGAGGGUGGUGGAAUUUCCUGUGUAGCGGUGAAAUGCGUAGAUAUAGGAAGGAACACCAGUGGCGAAGGCGACCACCUGGACUGAUACUGACACUGAGGUGCGAAAGCGUGGGGAGCAAACAGGAUUAGAUACCCGCGUAGUCCCUGUCUCUUAUAC
rnacentral:rRNA from 1 species